rnacentral:tRNA from 1 species
GGGGGUGUGGUGAAAUUGGUAGACGCACUGGACUCAAAAUCCAGCGGGCGCAAGUCCAUGUCGGUUCGACUCCGACCACCCCCACCA